rnacentral:tRNA from 1 species
GGGGAUUUAGCUCAGUGGUAGAGCGCUUGCCUAGCAAGCACAAGGCCCUGGGUUCCUUCCCCAGCUCUG